AUGUAUUAUAUUUUACAUGUAAUAUUACUAAUAUUACCAUAUAUUGAUACAGUACAAUAUAGUAAUUUAUUACCAGUAUUGUACUACCCUGUUUCCCCGAAAAUAAGACAGGGUCUUAUAUUAAUUUUUGCUCCCAAAGAUGCACUAGGUCUUAUUUUCAGGGGAGGGAGAUGGAAGGAAGAAACGGCAGCUCAGGGACAGGCAAGGCAAGGCAGGCACAGAAAGCAAGCACUUUCCCUCCCUGCCUCAGGUGUAUGAAUGAGUGCUGCUUCUGCCCUGCAGCCAUGCUUCCCAAUGGAACUCUGCUGCAGCCUUAGUUGCUAGGUCUUACUUUCAGGGGAGGCCUUAUAUUUGGCAAUUCCCCCAAACCCCUGCUAGGUCUUAUUCUUUGGGGAGGUCUUAUUUUCGGGGAAACACGGUAUGUUAAUAAUAUAAUAUUGUAUGUAAAUUUAAUUCGUAAGCCGCUCUGAGUCCCCUUCGGGGUGAGAAGGGUAGCAUAUAAAUGUAGCAAAUAAAUAAAUAAAUAGGACAAAAACUGCUUUAAUAGGUGAGCUAUACUCCAAGUUACGUUGUAUUAUCAAACCUAGUGCUGCUUAGAAACAAUGAUUAUUGCAAAAAGAUAAUUCUAUUAGGAACAACAUUAAGAGAAGUCUUGCAACUUGACCAAAAAAUAAAAAUAACAAGCAAACUUUAUCAUUCCCUGCCCCUGCUAUCUACCUUAUUCACCAAAUGUAUGGGAUGAGAAAAUGUCAUGCCAAUUGCUGAAUAGUGUAUAUCCACUGAAACAUUUUGCUUCAGCUCAACAAUGUCUUAGUCUGUGCAUGUCUAAAAGUACUUCAUCUAUUUCACAGGCUUUUCUGAGGCAAGGAAUACUCAGAGGCAGUUUUACCAGUUCAUUUAUCUGAAAUACAACCCACAAUACCCAAUGGCAUAUAACCCAGAAUAUCAAGUCAGAAUAACCCACAAUAUCUGCUUUGAACUUGGUUAUCUGAGGGCGGUUCCAGACGGCAAUAAAGUCUGCUUCGACCCGGGUUUAAAAUCCCGGGUCAGGGCGGACUGCAAUCUACACACCCCCAAAAAAGCCAGCGC
rnacentral:lncRNA from 1 species